rnacentral:rRNA from 3 species
UGAGGAAUAUUGGACAAUGGAUGGAAAUCUGAUCCAGCCAUGCCGCGUGCAGGAAGACGGCCCUAUGGGUUGUAAACUGCUUUUAUACGGGAGCAAUAAGGUCUAUGCAUAGAUUGAUGAGAGUACCGUAUGAAUAAGCAUCGGCUAACUCCGUGCCAGCAGCCGCGGUAAUACGGAGGAUGCGAGCGUUAUCCGGAUUUAUUGGGUUUAAAGGGUGCGUAGGCGGCUUUGUAAGUCAGCGGUGAAAUUUUGCAGCUUAACUGUAAAAGCGCCGUUGAUACUGUGAAGCUAGGAUUUGGUUGCUGUGGGCGGAAUGUGUGGUGUAGCGGUGAAAUGCAUAGAGAUCACACAGAAUAUCGAUUGCGAAGGCAGCUCACAAAGCCAAUAUUGACGCUGAGGCACGAAAGUGUGGGGAUCAAACAGG